rnacentral:rRNA from 1 species
GACGAACGCUGGCGGCGUGCCUAAUACAUGCAAGUAGAACGCUGAAGGAGGAGCUUGCUUCUCCGGAUGAGUUGCGAACGGGUGAGUAACGCGUAGGUAACCUGCCUGGUAGCGGGGGAUAACUAUUGGAAACGAUAGCUAAUACCGCAUAACAGUAGAUAUUGCAUGAUAUCUGCUUGAAAGGUGCAAUUGCAUCACUACCAGAUGGACCUGCGUUGUAUUAGCUAGUUGGUGGGGUAACGGCUCACCAAGGCGACGAUACAUAGCCGACCUGAGAGGGUGAUCGGCCACACUGGGACUGAGACACGGCCCAGACUCCUACGGGAGGCAGCAGUAGGGCAUCUUCGGCAAUGGACGGAAGUCUGACCGAGCAACGCCGCGUGAGUGAAGAAGGUUUUCGGAUCGUAAAGCUCUGUUGUAAGAGAAGAACGAGUGUGAGAGUGGAAAGUUCACACUGUGACGGUAUCUUACCAGAAAGGGACGGCUAACUACGUG